CACGUAGUUAGCCGGGGCUGCUUAGUCAAGUACUGUCCUUCCUCUUCCUUGCUGAUAGAAGUUUACGAUCCGAAAAUCUUCUUCCUUCACGCGGCAUCGCUGCAUCAGGGUUCCCCCCAUUGUGCAAUAUUCCCCACUGCUGCCUCCCGUAGGAGUCUGGGCCGUGUCUCAGUCCCAAUGUGGCCGUCCAUCCCUCUCAGACCGGCUACUGAUCGUUGCCUUGGUAAGCCCUUUACCUCCCCAACUAGCUAAUCAGUCGCGGGCCCAUCCUAUACCGUCUCGGCUUUUCCUACUAGUUCAUGCGAACCUGUAGGCUUAUGCGGUAUUAGCGUACAUUUCAUACGUUAUCCCCCUGUACUAGGGUAGGUUACCCACGUGUUACUCACCCGUCCGCCGCUAGAUCUAUUCCCUUCCAGGCCGAAGCCUUUCCGCAAAACUCUCUCGCUCGACUUGCAUGUGUAAGCGUGCCGCCAGCCGUUCAUCCUGACGCCGAGGAUACGAAAACUCU
rnacentral:rRNA from 1 species